UACGUAGGGGGCAAGCGUUGUCCGGAAUCAUUGGGCGUAAAGAGCGUGUAGGUGGCUCGGUAAGUCCACUGUAAAAGUCCAGGGCUCAACCCUGGAAAGCCGGUGGAAACUGUCGAGCUAGAGUCCGGAAGAGGCGAGUGGAAUUCCUGGUGUAGCGGUGAAAUGCGCAGAUAUCAGGAGGAACACCAAUGGCGAAGGCAGCUCGCUGGGACGGUACUGACACUGAGACGCGAAAGCGUGGGGAGCAAACAGG
rnacentral:rRNA from 1 species